UAAUCUCCCAUAGAGUCAUCUGAUUUAUUUCAACAUAGCCUAUUCGCCCCAUAGAGUUACGCUGUAGAGUCAUCUAAUUUAUUUCAACAUAGCCUAUUCUCCCAUAGAGUCAUCUGAUUUAUUUCAACAUAGCCUAUUCGCCCCAUAGGGUUAUGCUGUAGUCAUCUGAUUUAUUUCAACAUAGCAUAUUAUUUCAACAUAGCCUAUUCGCCCCAUAGAGUUACGCUGUAGAGUCAUCUGACGUUGGUCUCCAACAUUUUCCAACAUCUUGAAUUUUCCCUUGGGGAUCAAUAAAGUAUCUAUCUGUCUAUCUAUCUAUCUAUCUAUCCAACAUGGCGCCCAUGAUUUGAGUUGGCCAAACUCUCUCUAUAUACAGCACUGGUAUGCAGUGCCCCCCCCCCCCUCACGCACACACACACACACACACACACAUACACAUACAUACAUACAUACAUACAUACACACACACACACACACACACACACAAACACACACACACACACUGCACACAAAUGCAGCUACACAAGUGCAGCUUCCAGUCCGAGUCAGUUCAGGUGAUUUUAAUAAUGAUGACCCAUAUCCCAUGUGUUGUACAUUUUAAUAAUGAUGACCCAUAUCCCAUGUGUUGUACAUUUUAAUAAUGACGACCCAUAUCCCCUGUGUUGUACAUUUGAAUAAUGACGACCCGUAUCCCCUGUGUUGUACAUUUUAAUAAUGACGACCCGUAUCCCCUGUGUUGUACAUUUUAAUAAUGACGACCCAUAUCCCCUGUGUUGUACAUUUUAAUAAUGACGACUCGUAUCCCCUGUGUUACUGUAGUUGUAAGUAUUUCAUGAUAAAAUGCCCCGUUGCCAUGGCGAUGCUGCGAGUCGGUGACUAUGGUUACAUGCACAACAUAUUCAGAUAAAUCCAAAUUCUGUUGGUAUUCAGGUUUACAUCUUUACAUGUUAGUAAAUAUUUAUACUUAUUUAGGUUGUUGGUAAUCUGCUUUUUAGUAUUAUAAAAGGGGUUGCCCACUUAUUCUUGAUCUGUCAGUAGUGCACGCAAAACUUCUUUGAGUUUGUUGCACCCCUUUUUAAAGAGGUCACCAUUGUAGUGCUUUCGCCCAAUUAAUUCCAUUCCAUUAAUUCCAAUUACAUUUCAGCUUUCAGGUUUGAAUUAAUAAAUUGGCCUCAUCUAGCCUAGUUAGCGUGCUAGGCCUCAUCUAGCCUGGUUAGCACGCUGGGCCUCAUCUAGCCUGGUUAGCAUGCUGGGCCUCAUCUAGCCUGGUUAGCAUGCUGGGCCUCAUCUAGCCUGGUUAGCAUGCUGGGCCUCAUCUAGCCUGGUUAGCAUGCUGGGCCUCAUCUAGCCUGGUUAGCAUGCUAGGCCUUAUCUUCACUCCAGAAGUGCACGCUUUUAGCCACACUUUUCACCAUGUUGCAAAGUUGUCAGAGCAACAAACCAAGCUGCCUAAAUUUCUUGGAUGAAAAUGCGUAAAUUGAUACGUAAAUUAAUAUUUCGAAAGGGAUAUUGAUAUUCUGGGUAGUACAGGCAUAUGCUAAGGGUCUUAUUUAGGUUGUUAGUAAUCCAAAUAUAAUCUUAAUUGGGUUAUGGUGAUUGGGUUAAGGUGUUCACGACUCAUACACAUUUGGUAUUUCAUUAUUCUGAGUAAAGCAGGAAUAUGUUGUGCAUGUUUCGUAGGCAGUGUGUGGUGUGCAGGCGGUUGCCUGUAGCCUGUUUAUAUAAUCUGUCUCUUUUAUAAAGUCUGUUGAUAUAAUCUUUCUCUUUUACAAAGUCCGUUUAUAUAAUCUGUCUCUUUUAUAAAGUCUGUUGAUAUAAUCUUUCUCUUUUACAAAGUCUGUUUAUAUAAUCUGUCUCUUUUAUGAACUCUUUACAUUUGUGCCAAAUGGGAAUUACUAAGAAUUCCAUUGUAGCGUGUUUCUGUAAAAGGACAACACAACCCCCCAAACACACACACACACACACACACACACAUGCGUAACUUGCAUCUAGUGCACUGUUAGAAAUGUGCCAUCAUUUGUGAUAUUAAAGAUAUUUUAAUGGA